rnacentral:misc_RNA from 1 species
AAGUCGUAACAAGGUUUCCGUAGGUGAACCUGCGGAAGGAUCAUUAUCACGUAUCCACGUUAUAAACCAACUGUGAACUGUUUACAUUAACCACUUGAACCAAUUAAUUUUACUUUGUUUGUACUGAUUUGUUCUUUACUCAGGUGUAACAACCCGAGAAGGAAUGUAAUACGAAACAAAAGAACAACUCUUAGCAACGGAUAUCUUGGUUCUC